GUUUGUGUGACAUUUCGGGAAGUGCUGUAAAUAUAUGUCCACAGGUUUGGUGGUGCUCUUCCUAUAAAUCAGUCAUCUUUUGUGUUCAUAUAAACAUUGCAGGACCCCUUUACUAGAACCCCCUUAUCUUGGCCAGGCAGGAUUAGAAGAUACGCUCAUCAAAGCCCAACUGGAUAUUUUACUUGAAAUCUUGCUAGAAUUAUCCUUGUUGGAUACACAUUUCCCUUCCUCUAUAAUUUCAGAAAUGGGAGAACAAUGUCUUCAUUCAAAUCUUCUUUUCUCUGCGCCCGUUCCCACCCAUUUGCGGACUUAAAUACAGAGUUAUAUCUUUUUUAAAAGGAAGAGAAAAACCAGCCUAAACAGUUGCCACCAUGUUGGAGAAAUUCAUCAUGACAACCUACAGCAAGGAGAAACAUAUGCAAAGCUCUUUUUAAUUCCCUCGGUUUCAGUGAUGAAGGCCUUCUCCUUGCAGAGUCAAUGUGUUGUUAAUUCAGAGACCUAUGGAUUCCACAAAAGCUGGAAUAUUUACCCUCAUCCUUUUCUGGACACCUCUUAGAUAGGACUGAGUCCACUGCUGUGUUCCAUUGUUCUUUGCUGAAGGCUGGCAGAACAGAGCACUGCAGGUAUGUAUUGAACACAGGUGAAGAACUCUUUUGUGAUCCUUAUAGGAAGAAACCAAUGUCUGAGUGCAAUUUGCUUCCUCGCCCCUUAUUCCUUGCUGGUGUUUUGCACCACAAUUCCUUAACAUCUUUGAGAACUGGCCAAAAUGGGUGGAGUAAUGGGCAAUGAAGAACAGAACAUGGAGAGGGAGUCAGGUUAGAGAAGACUGCGCAAGUGUAUCACUAGAUCAAGAGAAAUUGUGGAGACAUUUCAUGUUUGAUUAGAAGGCAGAGGGGGGAAAGGUAUAUAACCAACUAUGAAGAACAAAUAGUCAGGAACGAUAGUCAUGCAGGUUUUUCCUGUUUCAAGUGCUCUAGUUUCUGGUGCAAAUAGCUGCCCCAAAACAAUGCAAAACAUGAAGAAAUAAAUGCAUCUUAUAUUUGUAAAUUGAAAACAACACAUUACCUUUUGCCUUUUUCCAAUAGACCAUGUAUCUCUUAUUUCUCAAUUUAAAAAAAAGCAUGUAGCUUGAUAACACUACGUGGAACAGAAAACAUGAGAGGCAUAUUUACAAUGCUAUAAAAUCUCCAGUUGCAUUGUUGAUUAUAACAUACGUUCUCUCUCUGUCUUGCUCACUGCACCUUUCUCAAUCCCAGCACCAUUACGCAUGAAGAGGCUGAACAGAAGGUUCCAUACCCUGCAUCCCACAUGAAGAAGCAUUGCAAUUAUAGGAGAAAAUGAAGACAUAAUUUGCUUUCCCAAGUCACGUGUCAAAUCCCUAACUGCAGUGCAGACUUCUCUACUGCAUAGGCAUCCUGUGCCAGUUUUGCAUGAGCUCGAGUUCUGAGAAAUGGCUCAGACACAGGAAUUCUUCUUGUCCUUCAGCAGUACCUGCAAAGAAGCUCCUUAAAAAUUCCUGAACUCAUCAAUCGACAAUCUAAGCCAUAUAGAAAACCAGACAGACAUCCAUGUAAGAAAGCAACAUAUAUAAUUUGUAUUACCUGCUUACCUUUGUAUGCCCACACUAAUCAAAUAAAAGUCUCAAUAUACCUGCAAGACAAA
ensembl:lncRNA